rnacentral:rRNA from 1 species
AUUGAACGCUGGCGGAAUGCUUUACACAUGCAAGUCGAGCGGCAGCACGGGGGAAACCCUGGUGGCGAGCGGCGGACGGGUGAGUGAUACAUCGGAACAUGCCCAGUCGUGGCGUAGAACACUUCGUAACAAGUGCUAAUACCGCAUACGUCCUGAAGGAGAAAGCGGGGGAUGCUCGGACGGUGUGCGCUAUGAAUGGCCGAGGUCAGAUUAGACAGUUGGUGGGGUAAAGGCCUACCAAGGCCACGAUCUGUAGCUGGUUUGAGAGGAUGAUCAGCCAAACUGGGACUGCGACACGGCCCAGACUCCUACGGGAGGCAGCAGUGGGGAAUUUUGGACAAUGGGGGCAACCCUGAUCCAGCCAUUCCGCGUGAGUGAAGAAGGCCUUCGGGUUGUAAAGCUCUUUCGGCAGGAACGAAACGGCGAGCUCUAACAUAGCUUGCUAAUGACGGUACCUGAAGAAGAAGCACCGGCUAACUACGUGCCAGCAGCCGCGUAACAC